UUAAGAUAGCCCAGAGAGUAAUUAAUUGUCUUAGCGCAUAUAGAAAAGUAAUUGAACCGGUUCCAUCAAACCGUAGCAUCAGUGGUAACGUCAAAAGCGUAGCGCACAUCAAUAGAUCAAGAGAUCCAAAGGCGAAACAUCGAUGAUGACAGGGAGGGACUUGAUUGUCUGAAACUUGCAACUCUGUUUCGAAUGGUUAAGUCUAUCAAGGAGAGAACCGAGGAUGACGAUCGGUAGCAGUUUCUGUGUAACCGAUUGUUUCUCUCAGACCACAAGAAGUAAAUUGUGGCUUGGCAAGCAAGAAGACAGAGCCUUGCAACUUGCUGCCACAAUUGGCUCGAGAAGUCACAAGCGAAGAAGAGGUGACAAAAGAACCAGCAGCCUUACUAGUAAGCAGAGUUUGCAGGUCUUCCAUGUGUGUGUCUGAGCUUGCCGCGACCAUAGAGGAAGCAGCUUGCAAAAUGUCAGCACAGCAGGGAACAGGACCAGAAAGUAAUGGGUGGGAACUCAACCGCAGAGAUGGUAGAGUUAGGAGGAUCAGGCGGAAGCUAGGAGGGAGGAGAGGCCUUCCACGAGCAGCGAAAGCUAACGGAGAUCCAGAUCCAUGGGGAUUCCCUUCUGGGAACCACACGUUCUUUUCUUCUUCCUUCGUCGUUGCUUUGCGUCCGAAGAGUUCGACACUCAAAACCUCUACUUUUUCUCUCGAUUCUUCUGGGAAAUUUUUGCUAGCUUCUCGAAUCAAGGUUUGGUAGGAUGGAAUCUCUCACGUUUAAGGGUCUGUUAGGGAAGCAUUGGCUGAAGCUAAGGACAAGAAGAAGCUGUUGCUUGUGUACUUCUCUGGAGAGGAUGAAAAGUCAGACAGGUUGAACAAGAUGACACUGACUGAUGCAUCUGUAGGUUUUUAUUUACCUUCUCUCGGUUGUAUUUGUAAUCAAAGAGUGGGUCUACAAACCCCGCAUCACUUUGUUGACACGCAUCUAAGUAAAGGGUUGUAACACGACACGCAUGGUUACACUCAUUUUGUUUA